rnacentral:rRNA from 1 species
UACAGAGGUGGCAAGCGUUGUUCGGAAUUACUGGGCGUAAAGGGCGCGUAGGCGGCCUUCUAAGUCGGACGUGAAAUCCCCAGGCUUAACUUGGGAACUGCGUCUGAUACUGGGAGGCUUGAGUGCGGGAGAGGGAUGUGGAAUUCCAGGUGUAGCGGUGAAAUGCGUAGAUAUCUGGAGGAACACCGGUGGCGAAGGCGGCAUCCUGGACCAACACUGACACUGAGGAGCGAAAGCCAGGGGAGCAAACGGG